rnacentral:tmRNA from 1 species
CCUGAUAAGCAGAAUCGGUGCUGCCAUCAAGCGAUGGUGAUUGCUGUAAUUCCUUCAACGUGAAGGCGUUCUGGACGCGGGUUCGACUCCCGCCACCUCCACCCGAGGGCGUUUGUCGGUGAAGCGUUCUGGGGUGGGGGUGCCUUGGGUUCGACAGGGCGAGCUAGCGAAGACGGCAGCAGGAGAGGUGCCCGACCUAAUCGGCACAACACCGUAACUGGCAAAAACGACGCCUUUUACUACGAAGCGGCCUAAAUCCCCGCGUCCGAGUUGCCGCCCCGCCACGCGAGUGGUGCUUGGGAACAGAAAGGGCGGCCGAUUGA